rnacentral:rRNA from 1 species
UACGUAGGGGGCAAGCGUUGUCCGGAAUAAUUGGGCGUAAAGAGCGUGUAGGCGGCCUGAUAAGUCGGCUGUGAAAGUCAAGGGCUCAACCCUUGAAUGCCGGCCGAUACUGUCAGGCUAGAGUCCGGAAGAGGCGAGUGGAAUUCCUGGUGUAGCGGUGAAAUGCGCAGAUAUCAGGAGGAACACCUAUGGCGAAAGCAAGGUCCUGGACUCGUACUGACGCUGAGGCGCGAAAGCCAGGGGAGCGAACGGG